CCAUCCCCCAUGAUAGCAAGUAUAGAAACAAUGCUUAAGGCUUGUGGCAUCACUGAACCCAGCAUUCACUACGAGAGAUGGUGGUAGAUGCUCUGGGAUUGUAUAUUGGAGGAGUAUCAUGGCAUUAUGGAAUUCCUAUGACACAGCAUAAUUUUGAAGUACAAUGGGAAACGGCGUAGUGUACCAACUUAUUAUUUUAAUAAAUUGAACCUUGAUA